GACGAACGCGGGCGGCGUGCCUUACACAUGCAAGUCGAACGGGGUAUGAAUAAUACCUAGUGGCGAACGGGUGAGUAACACGUGAGCAACCUGACCUUUUGAGGGGGAUAACAACCGGAAACGGUUGCUAAUACCGCAUAAGACCACACUGUCACAUGACAGAGGGGUCAAAGGAGCAAUCCGCAAAAGGAGGGGCUCGCGUCCCAUUAGAUAGUUGGUGAGGUAACGGCUCACCAAGUCAGCGAUGGGUAGCCGAGCUGAGAGGCUGAUCGGCCACACUGGAACUGAGACACGGUCCAGACUCCUACGGGAGGCAGCAGUGGGGAAUAUUGGGCAAUGGGGGAAACCCUGACCCAGCAACGCCGCGUGAGUGAAGAAGGCCUUCGGGUUGUAAAGCUCUGUCGCAGGGGAAGAAAAAAAUGACGGUACCCUGUGGGGAAGCCCCGGCUAACUACGUGCCAGCAGCCGCGGUAAUACGUAGGGGGCGAGCGUCGUCCGGAAUUACUGGGCGUAAAGGGUGCGUAGGCGGCAUGUUAAGUUGGAUGUGAAAUACCCGGGCUCAACCUGGGGGGUGCAUUCAAAACUGGCAAGCUAGAGUGCAGGAGAGGGACGCGGAAUUCCUAGUGUAGCGGUGAAAUGCGUAGAUAUUAGGAGGAACACCAGUGGCGAAGGCGGCUUUCUGGACUGUAACUGACGCUGAUGCACGAAAGCGUGGGGAGCAAACAGGAUUAGAUACCCUGGUAGUCCACGCUGUAAACGAUGAAUACUAGGUGUAGGGGGUAUGAACUCCCCCUGUGCCGCAGCUAACGCAAUAAGUAUUCCGCCUGGNGAGUACGGCCGCAAGGUUG
rnacentral:rRNA from 1 species